UACGAAGGGGGCUAGCGUUGUUCGGAAUGACUGGGCGUAAAGGGCGCGUAGGCGGCGAUCUUAGUCAGGCGUGAAAGCCCUGGGCUUAACCUAGGAAUUGCGCUUGAUACUGGGUUGCUAGAGUGCGGGAGAGGAUGGUGGAAUUCCCAGUGUAGAGGUGAAAUUCGUAGAUAUUGGGAAGAACACCGGUGGCGAAGGCGGCCAUCUGGACCGUUACUGACGCUGAGGCGCG
rnacentral:rRNA from 1 species